GUUGUUAAGGUAUAUAGCGAAUCUUGACGUUUCGCCCUGACCGAUGCUACCUCCUUGAUUGCCUAC
rnacentral:rRNA from 1 species